rnacentral:rRNA from 1 species
AUGGUCGCGACUCUGGCAACGUCGAUCGCCGGUCACAGCACCCCAGCGACGAGCUCGCCAGAAGGAAUCUGCUUCGGGUUGUUAGUAGCAACAAAAAUGUCCACCGGUGGUAGCAAAAAAAAUUGUUGGUUCCAGCAAAAAAUAGCUCGUCGUUGUCGCCACCCCGUCGCAAUUGUAGCAAAAUCGUUCGCUGCCUGUAGCUUUUGUGAUUGCCGGUUGCAACAAAAUCAUGCGCUCCGCCGUCACCGCGGAAAACAUUCCGAGGAUGCAGCAAAAAUGAUGGUUGGUUCCAGCUUUUGA